GCGUCUUACACAUCAAGUGACCGACGAACCGGGGGUUCGGCCCGGGCAAAUCCCGAACGGUAGUACACGUGGGUACCUCCCCAUUGCCGGGACAACUUGAGAAACUCGGGGCUAAUACCGGAUGUUUCUCCUUCACACAAGUUAAGUAGCCAAAGGUAGCUUCAACUUCCGCAUCGGAGGGGCCCGCGCCCAUUAGCUUGUUGGUGAGGUAACGGCUCACCAAGGCCGCGAUGGGUACCUGGUCUGAGAGUGACAAUCACCACACUGGGACUAUUUCCGGCCCAGACUCCUACGGGAGGCAGCAGUGGGAAAUCUUGCGCAAUGCGCGAAAGCGUGACGCAGCAACACCGCGUGGGGGAAGAACUCCUUCGGGUUGUAAACCCCUUUCAGUGAGGGACGAAGG
rnacentral:rRNA from 1 species